rnacentral:rRNA from 1 species
GCUAAACGCGAAGAACCUUACCAAGGCUUGACAUAUACGAGAACGGGCCAGAAAUGGUCAACUCUUUGGACACUCGUAAACAGGUGGUGCAUGGUUGUCGUCAGCUCGUGUCGUGAGAUGUUGGGUUAAGUCCCGCAACGAGCGCAACCCUCGUUCUAUGUUGCCAGCACGUAAUGGUGGGAACUCAUGGGAUACUGCCGGGGUCAACUCGGAGGAAGGUGGGGAUGACGUCAAAUCAUCAUGCCCCUUAUGUCCUGGGCUUCACGCAUGCUACAAUGGCCGGUACAAAGGGCUGCAAUACCGUAAGGUGGAACGAAUCCCAAAAAGCCGGUCCCAGUUCGGAUUGAGGUCUGCAACUCGACCUCAUGAAGUCGGAGUCGCUAGUAAUCGCAGAUCAGCAACGCUGCGGUGAAUACGUUCCCGGGUCUUGUACACACCG